GGAGAGCUGGCAGAGUGGUCGAAUGCGGCGGUCUUGAAAACCGUUGAGCCGAAAGGUUCCAGGGGUUCGAAUCCCUUGCUCUCCGCCA
rnacentral:tRNA from 1 species